rnacentral:rRNA from 1 species
AGAGAGAGACAUGCGCGCAUAUCAAUAAGCGGAGGAAAAGAAGCUAACAAGGAUUCCCUUAGUGACGGCGAGUGAAGCGGGAAGAGCUCAAAUUUGAAAUCUUCAAGGUUCUACCUUGACGAAUUGUAGUUUAUAGAAGUGUUUUCUGUUAGUGGAGUGGCAAAAGUUCUUUGGAAUAGGACAUCAUAGAGGGUGAGAAUCCCGUAUUUGGUCAUUCCUCCUAGCGUUGUGAUACACUUUCAACGAGUCGGAUUGUUUGGGAAUGCAGUCCAAAAUGGGUGGUAAAUUUCAUCUAAAGCUAAAUAUUGGCGAGAGACCGAUAGCGAACAAGUACCGUGAGGGAAAGAUGAAAAGAACUUUGAAAAGAGAGUUAAACAGUACGUGAAAUUGUCAAAAGGGAAGCGUUUGACACCAGUGUUGUUUUUCCGAAAAUCAAUUACGAAUGUUUUGUUUUUGAGGAGUUAUGACUUCAUCGGCUUGCUCCUUUCUUUACGAAACUUUCUUAAUGCACUUUUCGGUUAACAAGUCAACAUCAAUUUCUUUUGUUGUAAAAGGGUAUGAGGAAGGUGGCUUUCUUUUCGGAGAAAGUGUUUAUAGCCUUUGGCCUCUGCAAUCGGAGAGAUUGAGGUCUGCAGCGUAGAUCCUUUGGGGUUAGAUGCAUUUGUGCUAAGCUAUAGCCUUUCAUAGACAACUUGUUGACUAUGAUCAGUCAUGUAGCUUACUCGCUUAUGUCAUUUUACCUACGCUUAGGAUGUUGAUCUGUAGUGCGUGCGC